UUCACAGAGCAGUGUGCUUGUUGGUAAAAAAAACGUUAUUAAGUAUCUAUAAGACUUAGCUAUCGACGGAUUAAAACUUGUAAAUUCAGUAAGCUACUAAGAAUAAGGAUGAAUCGGCUUGUUAUAUUUUGUGUUAUCUUCCUUGCGAGUUUCGUCAACUGCGAAGACGCGGAGACUAAAGAUGUGGUGGAAGGCAGGGGAAAGGCUAAAUACGCACUAUUAACCCACCUAGCAAUAAUAUUUGGCGCGAAAGUGGGACUGUACAAGAUAAUCCUAGGCAUAGCUCUUGUGGUGGCCAGUAUAAAAGCUAUGGUGGUGAUGGCCUGGGUGCUAGCCGCCUUUAAAUACAUUCCCGAUGCGUGGCCCUACUACAGGGACCAAGGGUUAAGGCCUUACAAUGAUAAGUUUUACCAACCGCCUGGUAACGCCUUCUUCGAUGUCUUAUUGAAUACACGUCAUUGAUUGUGCAUUUCUUCUACGUGGUGGCAACAAAACUAUUUGUCUUGAAGAUUGUAUACGGUAUUAUUUUCUACGUGAUAUUGACGAAGGCUUGGCACUUUGUUAUCUGGCUCAUACAUUACUUGAAAGAGAAGAAACACGAUCACUACGUGGAAUACGACCAUGGUGAACAUUAUUACGAUCAUCAUGACCAUCAUCACGAUUAUUACGACCAUCAACCCUACGGCAAACCGAGCUACGGCGAACCAAGCUACGGCAAACCGAGCUACGGCAAAAGCGACACCUAUGGGUUUAAAAAGUCUGCUAUUUACGACGCAGACGGAUCGUAUUCGGUCAAAAAAACUUAAAGCUAAAAAGUUUCAUAUACUAAUCAAUAUAGCUUGUUUUCUUCUACUCUAGAUUAUUCGUUUGAAUGUUGCCAAAGUUUUAGAUAAUUUUAGAUUUUUACGUAAUGUCUGUAGCUCGGGUAAUGAUAUUCAUUAAAGAUAAAUUUUAUGCCAACGUUGUAAUAUCAAUUUUACAAGACAGCCAUGUUUUAUAGUACACGUCUUUCAGCAUUGGUAGAAUUAUAUUAUUUGUAUCCAACAGUUCUCGUGUGCUUACGAAUUAUUCAUUAUUAUUAAAUAGAUACCAACUCUUGGAUGUUUAUAUUAGUAGUCGCGAUGUCUUUGGCUAGCUUUAUAUCAGUGUCAUAUUACUUACUAUAGCUCUUCAUCAUCAUCAUAAUCAUCAUCAACCAGCCCUUAUCUCUACGAAGGGUCGGCUCAGUACUCCCUCAUACAUUUUAAUUAGCUGUCAUAUCUGAACACCCAUAUCUUACGCAUAUUCUCUUUCACACAAUCCAUCCAUACUUUUUUUGGUCUUUCCUUAUAUUUGUAGGCAUCCACAUUCAAUCCCAUUACUUUUGUCCAAACCACGCCAAAUAUUCUACUUCUUAAUUUCUCCAUUACUGGCGCUACUUUUAAACUUUUAAAUUAAUAAAAGCCAUAGUAUUUAUUGAAUAUAA